rnacentral:rRNA from 1 species
GGACUACACGGGUAUCUAAUCCUGUUUGAUCCCCACGCUUUCGCGCCUCAGCGUCAAUGUCGGUCCAGUUGGCCGCCUUCGCCACGGGUGUUCUUCCCAAUCUCUACGAAUUUCACCUCUACACUGGGAAUUCCACCAACCUCUACCGAAUUCAAGCCAGGCAGUCUCGAGUGCAAUUCCGGGGUUGAGCCCCGGGCUUUCACACCCGACUUGCCAGGCCGCCUACGCGCCCUUUACGCCCAGUAAUUCCGAACAACGCUAGCUCCCUUCGUAUUACCGCGGCUGCUGGCAC